AAAUCACAAAAACAUUAUCUUCUGCGUCAUGUUUAAAUGGGAGCUUCCUGGACAAAAGUCGUGAUAAACAUUACCAAACCUCACUGAAGCACUCUGGCCUGGACUUGUCACUCGCCCGACUGGCUUUUCAAAAGCUUGCAGAAAAGGACAAAGUUCUGGCUGAGGUUAAAGAAGUCGUCCAGCACAUACUCCUUCCCUCCCUGAGUAAGGAUCCCAUUGGGGUGGAGGGUCUGAGGGUGUACCUCAUCAUCCCUGAGCUCCUGAGGGUUCUCCUAAAACAACAACGUGGCAUAGACAUUACUGAGGCCUUCGCUGCAGCCAUCCUCAGACUGAACCCAGACAAGCUCCAGGUCCUUGAGGGCCUAUGGUCGACACUGUCAG